rnacentral:rRNA from 1 species
GAAGUGUGGACGCCAGUCUGCAUGGAGCCGACCUUGAAAUACCACCCUUUAAUGUUUGAUGUUCUAACGUUGACCCGUAAUCCGGGUUGCGGACAGUGUCUGGUGGGUAGUUUGACUGGGGCGGUCUCCUCCUAAAGAGUAACGGAGGAGCACGAAGGUUGGCUAAUCCUGGUCGGACAUCAGGAGGUUAGUGCAAUGGCAUAAGCCAGCUUGACUGCGAGCGUGACGGCGCGAGCAGGUGCGAAAGCAGGUCAUAGUGAUCCGGUGGUUCUGAAUGGAAGGGCCAUCGCUCAACGGAUAAAAGGUACUCCGGGGAUAACAGGCUGAUACCGCCCAAGAGUUCAUAUCGACGGCGGUGUUUGGCACCUCGAUGUCGGCUCAUCACAUCCUGGGGCUGAAGUAGGUCCCAAGGGUAUGGCUGUUCGCCAUUUAAAGUGGUACGCGAGCUGGGUUUAGAACGUCGUGAGACAGUUCGGUCCCUA